UAACACGUAUGCAACCUGCCUUCAACUGGGAGAUAGCCCGGGGAAACUCGGAUUAAUACCCCAUAACAUGGUGAAACAGCAUUGUUUUAUCAUUAAAGCUCCGGCGGUUGAAGAUGGGCAUGCGUUCGAUUAGCUAGUUGGUGUAAGUAACGGCUCACCAAGGCUACGAUCGAUAGGGGGUCUGAGAGGAUGAUCCCCCACACUGGUACUGAGAUACGGACCAGACUCUUACGGGAGGCAGCAGUAGGGAAUAUUGGUCAAUGGGCGCAAGCCUGAACCAGCCAUGCCGCGUGCAGGAAGACGGCCCUCUGGGUUGUAAACUGCUUUUGAUAGGGAACAAAUGCCACUUGCGAGUGGAGCUGAGUGUACCUAUAGAAUAAGCACCGGCUAACUCCGUGCCAGCAGCCGCGGUAAUACGGAGGGUGCAAGCGUUGUCCGGAUUUAUUGGGUUUAAAGGGUGCGUAGGCGGCCUAAUAAGUCAGUGGUGAAAGCCUCCAGCUUAACUGGAGAACUGCCAUUGAUACUGUUAGGCUUGAGUAUACUUGAGGUAGGCGGAAUUGACAGUGUAGCGGUGAAAUGCAUAGAUAUUGUCAAGAACACCAAUUGCGAAGGCAGCUUACUAAAUUAUAACUGACGCUGAGGCACGAAAGUGUGGGUAUCAAACAGGAUUAGAUACCCUGGUAGUCCACACUGU
rnacentral:rRNA from 1 species